UACAGAGACUGCAAGCGUUAUUCGGAUUCACUGGGCGUAAAGGGUGCGCAGGCGGCCGUGUGUGUGAGGCGUGAAAGCCCGGAGCUCAACUCCGGAAUUGCACCUCAAACUACAUGGCUAGAGCAUUGGAGAGGGAAGCGGAAUUCACGGUGUAGCAGUGAAAUGCGUAGAUAUUGUGAGGAACACCAGAGGCGAAGGCGGCUUCCUGGACAAUUGCUGACGCUCAGGCACGAAAGCGUGGGGAGCAAAAGGG
rnacentral:rRNA from 1 species